CUAAUCUGCACGCUCCUUCUUCAAGCUUGUCAGCAGAUUUACUGAUCACCCCGAUAUUGGAACGUUGCAUGACAAUUUCGGACAUGCCAUUGAAACUUUUCGGGAUUGCAAGUACUUAGGUACUCGAGUUUGUGCUGAUGGGACAGUAGGAGAGUACAAAUGAAUGACAUAUGGCGAAGCUGAGAGUGCUCGAGAAGCUAUAGGUUCUGGACUUCGCUAUCAUGGGUUACCGCAAGUGAGAAGCAGAACAUUUUCUGAGUAGU